AGCAGCAUGUGAGUGAAACUAUGUGGUAAAGAAGGGACAGCCCACGACCUCGAUUGACACAGCUCUUCCAAAUCAUCUUUCUGUUCUGCUUUCUGUGUCCUACGCUGCUCUCAAGAGUAACAUCGGGUGCUCCUUCUCUCUCUCACUUGGCAGCAUUUGAAGGAGUUGACUUUUCCCCUGAGAAAACACUGCCCUAUUUGGGAUCUCUAGAGGAUGUAUCCAUACAGAUCUGAUCACUGAGGGUAUUUUUGUGUUUGACGCAGAUUUUCCAAGCAAGAGACAAAGUGUGCCAACAGAUGCGGUCCAUGUGCUCAGCUUCCCCUGGGCCCUGCCAGGGGCUGUUUGCAUGCUACAGGGGCACCAAGGGGAGGCCAAGGCAGUGCUCCUGCCUCAGUCCUCCUAGCAGCUGGCAGACCCAGAACCUGGGCUGAGGGACAGCAUGCUCCAAGUCUUCUUGGAAAUGUGGGCCAAACUGUGAGGGAGCCAUAUCCCUGGAUACAUCAACAGUACUGUUUUAUUACUCCUUCUGCUAAAAUGAGUGGCUGUCGGCAUUAUGCAAAUACCUCAGCGAUAAUUAGUAAC
rnacentral:lncRNA from 1 species